AAGGCCUAUUUAUUUUUAUAUUGUAAAAAGGCAUAUUGGUCUAUCAAUAUCUAAGCUAUAUAUUAUUGCAUGUACGUUUUUAUUACACUGACGCACGUAGCCUAUAUUUAUUCUGUUCAAUGAGAUGUUAACUGAUAACAUAGGCUUUUGGUUGUGGUAGCAGCCAUGGUGACAAUGGCUGGCUGCCACAGGUCGCUCAUUCAGCCAUACCUCUGAUUGGUUGCGACCUAUUUGCCGCAAAAAGGGUCGCGGCGCUUUUAUGGUCGCGACCUAGUCGGUCAGCCUGCCAGAGCCAUGGCCAGCGACCAGCGGCAGUUGCCAGCGGCAGCCAGCGGCUGGCCUGUCGUCGCAGCCAGCCAACCGACACCAGCCAGCGUCGCAGCCCGUCAUAUAGUUAUCAUACCAUACCAUCGUACUAAAUCAUACAAAAAUGUUAAAUGAAAGAGGCCGAUUGCGUCAAUAAGUUUGACUAAAAGAGCAAAAAUUAAUCAGUCCGUGGAGAGAAUAGAACACCGGUCUUCAGGAUCAUUAACUUAGCGUCACUACCACUUGUACCACAGCUUGCGCCACUAUAGCAUUGAUUUCAAACUAUUCUUCUUAUAUUAAAGUAUAUCGCUCUAUAACGAAGAACUUUGUGCAUAAUAUACCUUAUUAGGCUCAAU